GAUAAAGACAUGAUGCCCAAGGCAACAAACUUUUAGUCUAGGGGGAGACAAACAAGAAAGCAAAUUAGAGUAUCUAAAAAAUGACCAUUAUUUUAAUGGAGUACGUAUAGCUUUAACAGGAGCCCAGAAAGGCCAGGUCCGGAAGGAGUCAGGAAACCCCCCACAGAAGCAGACUCUGCAACAUCCUGGGUCAACACCAAGUGUGAGACGCAGAAGGGAGAGAGAUUUGGCUGGACAGGCAGGCAAGCAAGGACCAGAUAAUGAAGAGCCAUGUCACAUAAAGGAUUUCAGAGUUUCUAUCCCAUAGGAAGUGGGUGACCAGCAAGCCAUUAGCCUAGCAUCAUGGAUUAUUUCCCCAGUGGAUACUUUUCUUUAGCUCAUUCAUGUGUCCCACAUAUAUUUCUUGAAUAACAACUCAGGGCUAACAUUGCUCCACUAAAAAAGAAACCUUGAAGUCACCUAAAAUCGUCUGGUGCCACAGAUAUGCUGCCUUCCCAUCCCUAUCCAGCCUUUUGGGGUAAAAAUCACCCCUUAGACAUUUGGUUCAACCAUUCAAUAUCCCUGAGCAAAUAAUCUCACCCCAGAUUUCAGUUGGUAUCUGUUGUUGGGAUUUUCCACCAAGAAUCAGCAAUGGAAUUUUUUUAAACAGCAGAAAUAGAUAACACAAGUAAGGAAAAGAGUUAAAAAGGAGGCUCUUGAAAACAUUUAAAAUAGCUGCUCAGCACUGAAAAUCAGCUUAAGGGAUGGCAAAUGCAAAUGUGAGCUCAGACAGGCCCCGCUCAGUUUUGCAAAUCCUUUGGUAAUGAAAAUAGAUCCACACUUUAAUUUUUCAAACCAUAAACCUCCCCGAAGCAAGUAAGAAAAGAGAAGAAACAGAAGGGAAAUGUUCUACAAAGAAAGUGGAUUUUGCAUUUGAUGUUUUGAUGGAACUCAGUCAGGACAAUGUUCUCAAAAACUAUGAAGUAGACUGGGUCAUGGCUGCUACCCCAGGCUCCUAUUCUCCACUGUCUGCUCAGGUUGGGAGCAUUCCUUUCCAAAGUCCUCAACUGUCCAGGUCACUCUCAUGUCCCUCCCACUUCCAAGCACCACAUCAAACCCCACUGUAUGGAAAGGAGCAACACCUUCAUGACACUAAGGUCAUCCUCUCAGAAGGACCAUGGUUUGUUUAGAGAAUGUUUCACGAAAAUGCUAGACCAACGACGGGUCCUGAGACCUGACUGCAAGAGCGCACUCACAUCAGCUAUGGCUGUGACUCUUCUGUGCCCAAUCACCUUCCAGCAGCCCAAGGCUUCACUCAGUCCACUCAGGAAGCAGCAGAGUGCAUCAUGGGAGCCUUCAACAACUCACCUGUCACCAGAGAGUCAAGACUCAACCACAGCUUCAGCUGCUGAAUGCUGCUCACUAGGCAGGACAGCCAGGCUCCACCUAACUCAACCCCAAAGCAUAAAGGGCAGGAAUUGGAGAGAACAGAAGUAGAGGUUCUGAUAAUCCUGCAAAGAAUUCUGGGAAGUUUAUUUUACAUAUGUAAAUAAGGUUUGGAUCACUAGUCUGGGGCAAAUUCUGAAGUCAAAUCCUCUUCUGUAAGACAUGGACUGACCAACAUGGAAGAAAUCCUCUCUAUGGAUUCUGGAAGACAGAUGGAAAACUAGAAGAUUAUUUUGACCUGGCCUCAGGGUAAAAGAGAAAUUGUGUCAGUAGCAACCAAACUGCCAGAAGGAGCAGCUCAAAUGUUUCCCAACAUCCAGUCAACACCUGGCAAACGUCUAGUGGCUGGAAGAGCUAGCGUGCCCAGUGGAACAGAUGUGGAAGAUGGAUAAGCCCUUUUCUACAUGAAGGUUGGCAGAACACAUGGCACCAACUACCCUCCAAGGAAAGCCAAGGGUGCAGUAGGGAAAGCAAUGUGGUCAGGCCAGGCAGACUGGGCAGCCCACCUGCAGAGCUCCCGACCUCCCCAGCACCCUGCUGAGAAGUAGACUUUCAGGUUCCGGGGAUUAGGACAUGGACAUCAUCGUGGGCCAUUAUCCUGACUACUACAGGCAUAUUGAGUAAGAGAAUCAAAGUCUCAAAGUCCUGGGAGGCACCGGCCCAGGAUAGAGCCGGCUAAAGAACAUUGUCAACAGACAGCCAUCGAUUGUGGUACCAGCACUGCUCUUCAUCCACGUGAAUCUUACCAGUCUGCCCUGCCGCUAAGCUCUGCAGGUCAGAAGCCCAACAUUGAACUCACUGGCUAAAAUCAAGGUGUUGACAGGACUGCUUUCCCUUCUGGGGGCUCUGCUGCAGAAUCCAUUUUCUUGCCCCUUCAAGCUGCUAAAGGAAUCCUGUGUUCCUGGUUUGUGGCCCCCAUCUUCAAUAUUUAAAGCCAGCAAAUUUGCAUUGCUUUGAACAUUUUUGGUAGUUACACAUUCAUCUGACCAAAGCCUGAAAUGACCCUGUGCCCCUGAGACACCCCCCCCAUGUGAUUAGAUUGGACCCACCUGGGUAAUCCAGGACAACUUUCCACCUCAGUGUCUUUAACCCAACCCAAGAUCUGCAAAGCCCAUCUUGCCAUGUAAGGUUAACACAUCCAUGGGGUCUGGGUAUGAGAACAUGGAUAUCUUUGGGGCCAUUUUUCUACCUCCUUCAAGUCCCAAGGAAGGUGCUCCAGUGAUGUGAGGGUAGGAUGGGCAUCUUCACCAUAACUCAGCUUCAGGGACUAAAGCUUAUUAACAUAAGGACUUCUUUCAUCAUCUAAUCUAAAUCUCUCUUACUACCAUACUUCCAAAUUACAGCCAUCUCAUUCUCCAGCCCUACAAAUCCCUAGACCAACAUUUCAUCCCUGGACUCAUCAGAUUUCAGGACCUUUUUUUUGCUCUUUUCUAUCUGAGUCUAUGACUGAUGGGAACUAGGUUGUACCAAGAUAUCUGGCCUCUCUUUUCUUUCAUUUUUCUCCUUCUGCAAACCACAUGCUUCCCAUACCUCCCCCUACAUACACCUCCUCCUACAUGAGGCUUCGCUGCCCUUUGGUUUCUUGUAUUGAUGCAGACAUAAACUCCCUCAUCUUGACUUCCCCCUCCAGUAAGCCUCCUCUGCUCCUGCCCCUGCCCAUCCGCAUGCCCACACCAGCCUUCCAUGCCAUUCCCCCCAAGACCAACAUCAACUCUUAUGGCAACAUCACAGCCACAUCAUUAAGUGUACCCCCACUCUAGGUAGUGGGUAGCUUUAAGCAAUCAGUUCCACAUGUAGCCCUGAGCUGGACAAGUUGGGAUAACCUCUUAUUCUCACAAUUUUUUCAUAUAUAAGCAUGUUAAGGUCAUUCCAUUGUCCAAAAGAAAAAAAAAGAGCACUUAGGAUGUUAACAUAAUUAUCUUCAUUGGAAGUUUAUAAUAAUAAAAAACACAAAUCCAACCCAUAACACUUGAUUGAUAGAUUUUUUAAUACCAAGAUAGAGCUACAACACUAUAAAUCUGUACAUUGAAAUGUAUUUACCUCACUAUAAUUGACAGAAAUCAAUAGAAACACACAAAGCCCUUUGUUGCUCUGCUGAAACAUGACACAUUAGAAAAGAUAUGUAGAUAAAUACGUUAAUAAAGUAAUAG